UACGGAAGGCAGCAGUGGGGAAUAUUGCACAAUGGGCGCAAGCCUGAUGCAGCCAUGCCGCGUGUAUGAAGAAGGCCUUCGGGUUGUAAAGUACUUUCAGUCGUGAGGAAGGUGUUAAGGUUAAUAACCUUAGCAAUUGACGUUAGCGACAGAAGAAGCACCGGCUAACUCCGUGCCAGCAGCCGCGGUAAUACGGAGGGUGCGAGCGUUAAUCGGAAUUACUGGGCGUAAAGGGCACGCAGGCGGUUAAUUAAGUUGGAUGUGAAAUCCCCGGGCUUAACCUGGGAAUGGCAUUCAAGACUGGUUAGCUAGAGUCUUGUAGAGGGGGUUAGAAUUCCAUGUGUAGCGGUGAAAUGCGUAGAGAUGUGGAGGAAUACCGGUGGCGAAGGCGGCCCCUGGACAAAGGACUGACGCUCAUGUGCGAAAGCGUGGGGAGCAAACGAGGGAUUAGAUA
rnacentral:rRNA from 1 species